rnacentral:rRNA from 1 species
GACGAACGCUGGCGGCGUGCUUAACACAUGCAAGUCGAACGGAAAGGCCCUGCUUUUGUGGGGUGCUCGAGUGGCGAACGGGUGAGUAACACGUGAGUAACCUGCCCUUGAUUUUGGGAUAACUUCAGGAAACUGGGGCUAAUACCGGAUAGGAGCUCCUGCUGCAUGGUGGGGGUUGGAAAGUUUCGGCGGUUGGGGAUGGACUCGCGGCUUAUCAGCUUGUUGGUGGGGUAGUGGCUUACCAAGGCUUUGACGGGUAGCCGGCCUGAGAGGGUGACCGGCCACAUUGGGACUGAGAUACGGCCCAGACUCCUACGGGAGGCAGCAGUGGGGAAUACUGCACAAUGGGCGGAAGCCUGAUGCAGCAACGCCGCGUGCGGGAUGACGGCCUUCGGGUUGUAAACCGCUUUCGCCUGUGACGAAGCGUGAGUGACGGUAAUGGGUAAAGAAGCACCGGCUAACUACGUG